rnacentral:rRNA from 1 species
GAUGAACGCUGGCGGCGUGCCUAAUACAUGCAAGUCGAGCGAACGGACGAGAAGCUUGCUUUUCUGAUGUUAGCGGCGGACGGGUGAGUAACACGUGGAUAACCUACCUAUAAGACUGGGAUAACUUCGGGAAACCGGAGCUAAUAUCGGAUAAUAUUUUGAACCGCAUGGUUCAAAAGUGAAAGACGGUCUUGCUGUCACUUAUAGAUGGAUCCGCGCUGCAUUAGCUAGUUGGUAAGGUAACGGCUUACCAAGGCAACGAUGCAUAGCCGACCUGAGAGGGUGAUCGGCCACACUGGAACUGAGACACGGUCCAGACUCCUACGGGAGGCAGCAGUAGGGAAUCUUCCGCAAUGGGCGAAAGCCUGACGGAGCAACGCCGCGUGAGUGACGAAGGUCUUCGGAUCGUAAAACUCUGUUAUUAGGGAAGAACAUAUGUGUAAGUAACUGUGCACAUCUUGACGGUACCUAAUCAGAAAGCCACGGCUAACUACGUG